AAGCUCGUAGUUGAAUUUCGGGAUUAGUGCGCCGGUCGUGCCUUCGGUAUGUACUGGUGUUACUGGUUCCUACCUUCUGACGAACCGUCAUGUCAUUAAUUUGGUGUGGCGGGGAAUCAGGACUGUUACUUUGAAAAAAUUAGAGUGUUUAAAGCAGGCUCGCGCUUGUAUACAUUAGCAUGGAAUAAUGAAAUAGGACGUUCGAUCCUAUUUUGUUGGUUUCUAGGAUUGACGUAAUGAUUAAUAGGGAUAGUUGGGGGCAUUAGUAUUCAAUUGUCAGAGGUGAAAUUCUUGGAUUUAUUGAAGACUAACUACUGCGAAAGCAUUUGCCAAGGAUGUUUUCAUUAAUCAAGAACGAAAGUUAGGGGAUCGAAAACGAUCAGAUACCGUCGUAGUCUUAACCAUAAACUAUGCCGACUAGGGAUCGGAUGAUGUUAUUUUUAAUGACUCAUUCGGCGCCUUACGGGAAACCAAAGUGUUUGGGUUCCGGGGGGAGUAUGGUCGCAAGGCUGAAACUUAAAGGAAUUGACGGAAGGGCACCACCAGGGGUGGAGCCUGCGGCUUAAUUUGACUCAACACGGGGAAA
rnacentral:rRNA from 1 species